GACGAACGCUGGCGGCGUGCUUAACACAUGCAAGUCGAACGGAAAGGCCCUGCUUUUGUGGGGUGCUUGAGUGGCGAACGGGUGAGUAUCACGCGAGUAUCCUGCCCUUGACAUUGGGAUAACAUCAGGAAACUGGGGCUAUUAUCGCAUAGGAGAUCCUGCAGCACGGUGGGGGUUGGAAAGUUACGGCGGUUGUGGAUGGACUCGCGGCUUACCAGCUUGUUGGUGGGGUUGUGGCUUACCAAGGCUUCGACGGGUAGCCGGCCUGGGAAGGUGACCGGCCACAUUGGGACUGAGAUACGGCCCAGACUCCUACGGGAGGCAGCAGUGGGGAAUAUUGCACAAUGAGCGGAAGCCUGAUGCAGCAGCGCCGCGUGCGGGAUGACGGCCUUCGUGUUGUAAACCGCUUUCGCCGGAGACGUGGCGAUAGUGACGGUAAUUAGUAAAAAAGCACCGGCUAACUACGUG
rnacentral:rRNA from 1 species